AUUGAACGCUGGCGGCAUGCCCUACACAUGCAAGUCGAACGGUAACAGGUCUUCGGAUGCUGACGAGUGGCGAACGGGUGAGUAAUACAUCGGAACGUGCCUAGUAGUGGGGGAUAACUACUCGAAAGAGUGGCUAAUACCGCAUGAGAUCUACGGAUGAAAGCAGGGGAUCGCAAGACCUUGUGCUACUAGAGCGGCCGAUGGCAGAUUAGGUAGUUGGUGGGAUAAAAGCUUACCAAGCCGACGAUCUGUAGCUGGUCUGAGAGGACGAUCAGCCACACUGGGACUGAGACACGGCCCAGACUCCUACGGGAGGCAGCAGUGGGGAAUUUCGGACAAUGGGCGAAAGCCUGAUCCAGCAAUGCCGCGUGCAGGAUGAAGGCCUUCGGGUUGUAAACUGCUUUUGUACGGAACGAAAAGCCCUGGGUUAAUACCCUGGGGUCAUGACGGUACCGUAAGAAUAAGCACCGGCUAACUACGUGCCAGCCGCCGCGGUAA
rnacentral:rRNA from 1 species